rnacentral:lncRNA from 1 species
UUUUGGGCGUAACAAGUUGGUAUCACAGCCUAGGUUUGAGGGAUUCGUGCAAGAGUAUCAGUGCUUGAACUCAAACCGAUGGCUCGUGCAAAAGUGUGCUCGCUCCGAGAUCGCCAAUGAGGCCAAGAGCACGCGGGUUAUGUGAAGGGUAAGCGCGAUUGUUCGGAAGGAAUGAUCCGUGAAUGCGGUCUAGGACCGGCAUCAAGGCAAGUAAUAAGACGAAUUGACCCCUGGUACGUAUACUCAACGCGUUGAUGUAUGAAAUAGUAUAAUUAGGCAAGUGAAAGAAAAAUCUAAAUGAAUAUAACAACGACAUGGUAAAGGAUACACAAGAAACGUAUGACGUUCGUGAGACCGUAAACUUGAUGAAUAGACGCGCAAUGUCACUAACCGGAAAGGAAUGAUUACCGUAAAGUAUGGAUAAUGAAUCAAUGGAAUUUACUUCCGUCAGGUACGUAUAAAAAGGGUUGUAACUUUAGUAUGAGGUUAUGACUCGACUAGAGAGGGAUGCGUCAAAAUAGAAUAUGUGUAUACAAAACCGUAAUGAAAAAUGUGAAGUGAACUUCUAAAUGUUCGUAAUGAUCAUUGAGUGGUAUUGAACCUGAAUGCUCAUAACUGUGGAAAUUCUGAUAGAAUAUAAGAGACGACAAGUAUCGUUAAGAAAUGCUAACUUUGAUGCUCGGCUUGUUGGCCAUGUUCAUUUGAACAAGAUAUUGUAGGAAAGAUACGCAUGGCACGUAUAACAAUAGUAACCAUGGAAAUAAUACUUGGUCUUCGAAUUAAGUACGGAUAAGUAAGUUGAAGAAGGGUGACUUUGAUUUAAAUAAUAAGUCUUUGAAUGAUUAUAGUAUGCAUAUGAUAAUGUAUUGACCCCCCCCCCCUAUGAGUUUAAAAGGUAAACAAAAGUAAUGAUAGAAAUUGAUUGUUUGGAUGGCUCGUGGUGAACAACAUGAAAGAUAGC